CCCUCUGUAGCUCAGUGGCAGAGCGCUGGUCUUGUAAACCAGGAGUCGUGAGUUCAACCCUCACAGAAGGCA
rnacentral:tRNA from 1 species